GUAAUAAUCCUGUAGUCGAAAAUGUUGUCUCUCUUGAGUGGAUCCUGAGUACGACGGAGCACGUGAAAUUCCGUCGGAAUCUGGGAGGACCAUCUCCUAAGGCUAAAUACUCUCUAGUGACCGAUAGUGAACCAGUACCGUGAGGGAAAGGUGAAAAGCACCCCGGAAGGGGAGUGAAAUAGAACCUGAAACCGUGUGCUUACAAGUAGUCAGAGCCCGUUAAUGGGUGAUGGCGUGCCUUUUGUAGAAUGAACCGGCGAGUUACGAUUUGAUGCAAGGUUAAGCAGUAAAUGUGGAGCCGUAGCGAAAGCGAGUCUGAAUAGGGCGUUUAGUAUUUGGUCGUAGACCCGAAACCAGGUGAUCUACCCUUGGUCAGGUUGAAGUUCAGGUAACACUGAAUGGAGGACCGAACCGACUUACGUUGAAAAGUGAGCGGAUGAACUGAGGGUAGCGGAGAAAUUCCAAUCGAACCUGGAGAUAGCUGGUUCUCUCCGAAAUAGCUUUAGGGCUAGCCUCAAGUGAUGAUUAUUGGAGGUAGAGCAC
rnacentral:rRNA from 1 species